UCCGGGACAGCAGAGACAGGUGGUGCAUGGUUGUCGUCAGCUCGUGUCGUGAGAUGUUGGGUUAAGUCCCGCAACGAGCGCAACCCCUAUUGCCAGUAACCAGCAUUUCGGAUGGGGACUCUGGUGAGACUGCCGGGGAUAACCCGGAGGAAGGUGGGGACGACGUCAAAUCAUCAUGCCCCUUAUGGGCUGGGCUACACACGUGCUACAAUGGUGCUGACAGAGUGAGGCGAACCUGCGAAGGGGAGCAAAGCACAAAAAAGGCACCUCAGUUCGGAUUGUAGUCUGCAACUCGACUACAUGAAGCUGGAAUCGCUAGUAAUCGCAGAUCAGAAUGCUGCGGUGAAUACGUUCCCGGGUCUUGUACACACCGCCCGUCACACCAUGGGAGUUGGGAAUGCCCGAAGUCAGUGACCCAACCGCAAGGAGGGAGCUGCCGAAGGCAGGCUCGAUAACUGGGGUGAAGUCGUAACAAGGUAGCCGUAUCGGAAGGUGCGGUUGGAUCACCUC
rnacentral:rRNA from 1 species